rnacentral:rRNA from 1 species
CCUACGGGAGGCAGCAGUGAGGAAUAUUGGUCAAUGGGCGCAAGCCUGAACCAGCCAAGUCGCGUGAGGGAAGACGUAUUUCGGUAUGUAAAGCUCUAUCAGCAGGGAAGAAAAUGACGGUACCUGAUUAAGAAGCCCCGGCUAACUACGUGCCAGCAGCCGCGGUAAUACGUAGGGGGCAAGCGUUAUCCGGAUUUACUGGGUGUAAAGGGAGCGUAGACGGCAGCACAAGUCUGGAGUGAAAUGCCGGGGCUUAACCCCGGAACUGCUUUGGAAACUGUGCAGCUAGAGUGCAGGAGAGGUAAGUGGAAUUCCUAGUGUAGCGGUGAAAUGCGUAGAUAUUAGGAGGAACACCAGUGGCGAAGGCGGCUUACUGGACUGUAACUGACGUUGAGGCUCGAAAGCGUGGGGAGCAAACAGGAUUAGAUACCCUUGUAGUC